rnacentral:lncRNA from 1 species
UGCUUGGUCUCUGAUCUUCCCUCUUCUUUUCGUUCUUCUUUAUCAAUCUUGCGUUGCUUCUAUCGUGCAGUGGCUUAGCUCGGAUUACUCAAAGUUCUAAGGAUAAACUUUGAGCACCCAUUUGGUACCUUUGAGCUUUGGUGUGCAGGUUGGGAUGCGAUUUCAGCAGAGUGACGGUAUUUUUCCUCCUCCCUUUUUU